GCGGUCGUGGCGGAAUUGGUAGACGCGCAACGUUGAGGUCGUUGUGUCCGAAAGGACGUGGAAGUUCGAGUCUUCUCGGCCGCA
rnacentral:tRNA from 1 species